ensembl:snRNA U6 U6 spliceosomal RNA
GUGCUCGCUUCAGCAGCACACGUACUAAGAUUGGAACGAUACAGAGAAGAUUAGCGUGGCCCUUGCGCAAAGAUGACGUGUCACCUCUCCAGAGAGUGUAGUAUGAUUCUU